rnacentral:tRNA from 2 species
GGCGACAUAGUCAAGUGGUAAGGCAGAGGACUGCAAAUCCUUCAUUCCCCAGUUCGAAUCUGGGUGUCGCCU